UCAAAAUCACGUUUUUCCCAAAUUCAGUUUACUUUAGCCAUGAAAGGAACAUGAACCACAAAGAUACAAGGUAGAAAUGUCUACCACAACAUAAAUACUCAUCAAACAUCAUCCAAGAGCAUGUAAUGGCAACCAAAAUUCAACAAAUCAAUCAUUUCAUACAAAAUCUCAAAAUAUACACAUAAUAGCAUAAAGGCACAAAAUCAAAA
rnacentral:lncRNA from 1 species